CCGUUCCCAUCCCGAACACGGUAGUUAAGCUUCUCUGCGCCAAUGGUAGUUGGGGGCUUCCCCCUGCGAGAGUAGGUCGCUGCCGGGC
rnacentral:rRNA from 4 species